GAUGAACGCUGGCGGCGUGCCUAAUACAUGCAAGUCGAGCGAACGGACGAGAAGCUUGCUUCUCCGAUGUUAGCGGCGGACGGGUGAGUAACACGUGGAUAACCUACCUAUAAGACUGGGAUAACUUCGGGAAACCGUAGCUAAUACCGGAUAAUAUUUUGAACCGCAUGGUUCAAAAGUGAAAGACGGUCUUGCUGUCACUUAUAGAUGGAUCCGCGCUGCAUUAGCUAGUUGGUAAGGUAACGGCUUACCAAGGCAACGAUGCAUAGCCGACCUGAGAGGGUGAUCGGCCACACGGGAACUGAGACACGGUCCAGACUCCUACGGGAGGCAGCAGUAGGGAAUCUUCCGCAAUGGGCGAAAGCCUGACGGAGCAACGCCGCGUGAGUGAUGAAGGUCUUCGGAUCGUAAAACUCUGUUAUUAGGGAAGAACAUAUGUGUAAGUAACUGUGCACAUCUUGACGGUACCUAAUCAGAAAGCCACGGCUAACUACGUG
rnacentral:rRNA from 1 species